rnacentral:rRNA from 1 species
AUUGAACGCUGGCGGCAGGCCUAACACAUGCAAGUCGAGCGAGCGGCGGACGGGUGAGUAAUGUAUGGGGAUCUGCCCGGUAGCGGGGGAUAACUACUGGAAAGGGUGGCUAAUACCGCAUACUCUUGGAUCACCCCAUAUGGGAUUAGCUAGUAGGUGGGGUAAAGGCUCACCAAGGCGACGAUCUCUAGCUGGUUUGAGAGGAGGAUCAGCCACACGGGGACUGAGACACGGCCCAGACUCCUACGGGAGGCAGCAGUGGGGAAUAUUGCACAAUGGGCGAAAGCCUGAUGCAGCCAUGCCGCGUGUAUGAAGAAGGCCUUAGGGUUGUAAAGUACUUUCAGCGGGGAGGCGUUACCCGCAGAAGAAGCACCGGCUAACUCCGUGCCAGCAGCCGCGGUAAUUC